rfam:Fusarium oxysporum f. sp. lycopersici 4287 chromosome 4, whole genome shotgun sequence.
GUCGGUGUGGCUCAGUUGGUUAGAGCGUUGGUCUCAUAUCUGAAAUCAGAUUGAUCUGACGAGAAGUCAGAGUUAUCCAAAGGUCGAGAGUUCGAGCCUCUCCACCGACA